ACUAACAAGGAUUCCCCUAGUAACGGCGAGUGAAGCGGGAAGAGCUCAAAUUUGAAAGCUGGCGCCUUCGGCGUCCGCGUUGUAAUCUCGAGAAGUGUUUUCCGUGCUGGACCAUGUACAAGUUCCUUGGAAUAGGACGUCAUAGAGGGUGAAAAUCCCGUCCUUGACAUGGACGCCCAGUGCUUUGUGAUACGCUCUCCACGAGUCGAGUUGUUUGGGAAUGCAGCUCAAAAUGGGUGGUAAAUUCCAUCUAAAGCUAAAUAUUGGGGAGAGACCGAUAGCGAACAAGUACCGUGAGGGAAAGAUGAAAAGCACUUUGGAAAGAGAGUUAAACAGUACGUGAAAUUGUCGAAAGGGAAGCGCUUGAAGUUAGACAUGCCUGCUGGAAUUCAGCCUUGCUUUUUGCUUGGUGUAUUUUCCGGUGAGCAGGCCAGCAUCAGUUUUGUCUGUCGGAUAAGGGUAGGAGGAACGUAGCCCCCCUCGGGGGGUGUUAUAGCCUCUUACUGGAUACGGCGGAUGGGACUGAGGACCGCAGUGUGCCUUUAUGGCGGGCCUUCGGGCACCUUCACACUUAGGAUGCUGGCGUAAUGGCUUUAAGCGACCCGUCUUGAAACACGGACCGAGGAGUCUAACAUGUCUGCGAGUCUU
rnacentral:rRNA from 1 species